AGAGUUUAAUGUUAGCUCCGAAUGAACGCUCUCUAGAGGCCUUACACAUGCAAAUCGAACGUAUAAUAAGAAAUUAUUAUAAGUGGUGAACAGGUGAGUAUUCACUAGAAAUCUACCCAAUAAUCAGGAUAAAUUCCUUUUCAAGAAGAAGGUGGUCUAACUUUUUUCGUUAUUGGAUGAGUCUAGAAUGGGGAGGUAGUUGUAGAGGUAAAUGCUUUACAAGCCAGAGAACCAUAGUUAAAUUUGAAAGAAUAAAUAAUCACAUUGGCUCUGAAACAACAGCCAAGAUUUUCUUCAAGGAAAUCCAGCAGUGGGGAAUAUUGGUCAAUGAUCGCAAGAUUGAACCAGCUAUCUAGAAGGAUGAGAAAUCCUAACACAGAGAGGAAACCAGACGUUAUCUGAAGUUAAAGUCUCGACCCAAUCUCGUGCCAGCAGUCGCGGUAAGACGAGUGAGGCAAGCGUUAUUCAUCAUUACUAGGUCUAAAGGGUGUGUAGAUGGUUUUAAAAAGAAACUCGAGUCGAAGAGAAGAAUAAAGAAUGGGGAGAGUAGAGAUGAAAUUCCAGAAUACUCCCAAGACUUCCAAAGGCGAAAGCAUUAUUCUAAUUACCGACUGACAUUGAGAUACGUAAGCAUAAGUAUCGAAAAGGAUUAGAUACCCUUGUAGUUUAUGCUGUCAACGAUGAAUGCUCGAGAUUCGAUUCUAGUCCUUGAGUCUCUUCGUGAAGAUUUUAAGCAUUCCACCUGGGGAGUACUGUCGCAAGGCUGAAACUCAAAACAUUAGACGGUCACAGAGAUCAGCAGUGAAGCAUGUUGUUUAAUUCGAUAACCCACGAUAAAUCUUACCACUUCUUGAAUAAUCUUUCUCUCCUUCUUAUCCUUUUGGAAAAGUUGUGUUUGGAGGAUUACAGGUGUUGCAUGGCUGUCUUUAGUUCGUGUUGUGAAAUGUGAGGUUUAUUCCGAAAACGAACGCAACCCUUUUCUUUAAUUACUAUACUUUAAAGAUCUCUCUUUCGAUAGGAAAGAUGAAAGAGGAUGAAGACAAGUCCUCAUGACCCUUAUGAAGUGGGCUACAGACGUGCUGCAAAAGUUUCUACAAAAGGAAGCUAGAAUGAAAAUUGAAGCCAAUCCUCAAAGGAAAUUUUAGUCCGAAUAAGAAUCUGGAACUCGGUUCUUUGAAGUUGGAAUUGCUAGUAAUCGUCUAUCAGCAAGAGACGGUGAAACUUCUAUCUGUGAUGUACUAACUACUCGUCAAGCGCGGAUAUUUAUAGGGAAUAUCAAGCUCUGCGUCUAUUCUCUAGAGAUUUGUGCUAAGUCGAAAUAAGGUAGCUGUAGGGGAACCUGUAGCUG
rnacentral:rRNA from 1 species